AGCUCCAAUAGCGUAUAUUAAAGUUGUUGCAGUUAAAAAGCUCGUAGUUGGAUCUCGGGUACUAGCAUGUGGUACGCAUAACUGCUGUUCCUACUUGUCUGGUCCUCUUCAAUCGGUUGGCCGUUGAUGUCCUUCAUUGGGUGUUUUCGGUAGCCGGUACGUUUACUUUGAGAAAAUUAGAGUGCUUAAAGCAGGCUAUAGGCCUGAAUAAUGUUGCAUGGAAUAAUAGAAUAGGACCUCGGUUCUAUUUUGUUGGUGUUGUAGAGCAUUGAGGUAAUGAUUAAUAGGGACAGACGGGGGCAUUCGUAUUGCGGUGUUAGAGGUGAAAUUCUUGGAUCGCCGCAAGACGAACAACUGCGAAAGCAUUUGCCAAGAAUGUUUUCA
rnacentral:rRNA from 1 species